rnacentral:rRNA from 1 species
CGUCGCUAACACAUGCAAGUCGAACGAAGUCCUUGGGGACUUUGCGGCAGACGGGUGAGUAACGCGUGAGAAUCUACCUUCAGGCCGGAAACAACACCUGGAAACGGCUGCUAAUACCCGAUAUGCCGAAAGGUGCAAAGUUAUUUCGCUUGGAGAGAAGCUCGCGUCCGAUUACCUAAUUGGUGGGGUAAAGGCCUACGGAACCAACGGUCGGUAACUGGUCUGUGAGGAUGAGCAGCCACACUGGAACUGAAACACGGUCCAGACUCCUACGGGAGGCAGCAGUGGGGAAUUUUCCGCAAUGGGCAAAAGCCUGACGGAGCAAUGCCGCGUGGGGAAAGAGGGUUUUUGGAUUGUAACCCCCUUUUCUCAAGGAAGAACAAAAUGACGGUACUUGAGGAAUCAGCCUCGGCUAACUCCGUGCCAACAGCCGCGGUAAUACGGAGGAGGCAAGCGGUAUCCGGAAUUAUUGGGCGUAAAGCGUUCUUAGGCGGCUGUUCA